UUUCCGUAGGUGAACCUGCGGAAGGAUCAUUAAUGAGAACUAAGGGUAGUAGUCUCGGCUACUACUCUGAACACUCCACCCUUUGUUUAUAUUACCUUUGUUGCUUUAGCAGGCCCGCUCUCGAGCCGCCGGCACCUGCUGGCCAGUGCCUGCUAAAGAACCUAAAACUCUUGUUAAUAAUAUUGUCUGAGUACUAUAUAAUAGUUAAAACUUUCAACAACGGAUCUCUUGGUUCUG
rnacentral:misc_RNA from 1 species